GUACGACUUAAAAUCCGUCGACUUUAAAAAUCGUGAGGGUUCAAGUCCCUCUAUCCCCA
rnacentral:tRNA from 1 species